ensembl:lncRNA
GGGAGAGUCACGGUUAGCGGCCAGCUGGGCCUGGGCCGGGCUGCCAGGUCACCAAGGGACACUGUGUGGCGAGCAGUUUGAGGUUCAGUAAUGUGAUAUCCAGUUACCCAAGUGAGCCAUGGAUACCAGUAAGAAACACAGAGGAGCCUACCUCGCCGCACCCCUUUGUUGUCCCUGAAUUGGAUCAGAAGAGUUUCAACCAUAUCACAUCUGGGGCUGGUGCUAACAUCUGUCUCUGAGAAUGUGCUGGCUGUGACAACUCACUAUUCAUGUGACGAGAUCCAAACUCUUCAUAGCAAGCCAGACACAGGUGCUAUCACUGGAAAAUUUUUCUAUUAUCCAAUUCUUCCAUAUGCUUUCCAAGGGGAAAUAAACUAGUUUCAGGUCACACUGGUUCAUAAUGUUAGACUGCCAAGAUGGCUAGAAUAUAACCCUUCUAUCAAGACCUUGCAAGGACUGCCUUUAGAAGAUGAAGGAAGAGAUUUCCAAAUCACGGCGCUGGUGUCUGGGGAUUUCUGUUUCCAGCAAACGCGAACAGCCUCCAUCACCUCUACCCUUCAUGUGCUGGACAGAUGACGUAAAGGAAACAAGCUUGAUUUCGUCUCCAAGUGGUGUUAGGGUCCAAGGAGGCUAAAAGUUUUCUACCAACGUAGCUGAAGUCACUGUUAAAGCAGCUGCCGAAAUUCUUGGUGUUGGAAACCGUCCCUUUUUGGUGCACACACUGGCAGACUAUUUCCACUUGGAUCCAUCAUGAGUGACUAUGAACUCCUUCAGAAGCAAGAUAAACAAGCACCUUUGGAACCUUCCAGUGUUGGCUGCAGAUCCCAGGUUUUUCAACAGCAUGCUUCCUCUAAGUGUCCUGCCCAGAUUUUAGGAUAUAAGAUUGCAGGUUGGAGAUCACCUCAAAAACCUCAGAGAAGACCCAGACAGUUAAGGGCUGUCCCAGUGACAACGAUGGG